UAGUCCAACAACAGCCACUGCAUACUAGAGAAGCCAAGAAACCGAUAUGUGACCAGGCCGAGAAGCUGGGCGCUUCAGCAGUGCUAAUCCACCACCGCAGCCCUGUGAGUUCCCUGGAGAGUCACUGGUACUGUCUCUACUGGAAGGCUGAGGACACUGGAGCCUGAGGAUGCUCAUCCGACGGGACUCACACUGCGUCGUGUUCUGGUUCUGGUCUCUUGCGCUCGGAACACUGCCUUUGAGGCACCCGUUGCUGCGUGUGUCUGAGGUUUAUCCCCUUCAGAUCCUAAGCAUUUCAGAAUUGUGAUGCUAUCAUGCACCUCACAUAUUUGAAUCUCAGGUUUCAAGUGUUUAUUGCCCACAUAUUAAAAUCAUAUUGCUUUUUUGUAUUGAUCUA